rnacentral:misc_RNA from 1 species
GAUGAAAACGCAGCGAAAUGCGAUAAGUAAUGUGAAUUGCAGAAUUCAGUGAAUCAUCGAAUCUUUGAACGCACCUUGCACCCUUUGGCAUUCCGAAGGGUAUGCUCGUUUGAGUGUCAUUGUACUCUCACACUUCUGAUCCUUUGGAUUGGGAGCGGUGGACUUGGGUGUUGCUGCUUUACUGUGGCUCACCUCAAAUGCAUUCGUGCAACUCUUGGUUGGACAUAGUACGGCGUGAUAAGUAUCUUCGCCGGCACCUCGCAAGAGGGUGGCUGAUCAGGAGCUCUGUGCUUUCCAACUGUCUUCAGACAACAACUGACAACUUGACCUCAAAUCGAGUAGGACCACCCGCUGAACUUAAGCAUAUCAAUAAGCGGAGGA